UACGGAGGAUUCAAGCGUUAUCCGGAUUUAUUGGGUUUAAAGGGUGCGUAGGCGGUCGGAUAAGUUAGAGGUGAAAUCCCGAGGCUCAACUUCGGAAUUGCCUCUGAUACUGUUCGGCUAGAGAGUAGUUGCGGUAGGCGGAAGGUAUGGUGUAGCGGUGAAAUGCUUAGAUAUCAUGAAGAACUCCGAUCGCGAAGGCAAGUGUCCGGGGUGCAACUGACGCUGAGGCUCGAAAGUGCGGGUAUCAAACAGG
rnacentral:rRNA from 1 species